UACGGAGGGGGCUAGCGUUGUUCGGAAUUACUGGGCGUAAAGCGCACGUAGGCGGCUGUGUAAGUUAGAGGUGAAAGCCCAGGGCUUAACCCUGGAAUUGCCUUUAAGACUGCAUCGCUAGAAUCGUGGAGAGGUGAGUGGAAUUCCGAGUGUAGAGGUGAAAUUCGUAGAUAUUCGGAAGAACACCAGUGGCGAAGGCGACUCACUGGACACGUAUUGACGCUGAGGUGCGAAAGCGUGGGGAGCAAACAGG
rnacentral:rRNA from 1 species